rnacentral:rRNA from 1 species
CCUACGGGCUGCUGCAGCGAGGAAUAUUGGUCAAUGGACGAGAGUCUGAACCAGCCAAGUAGCGUGAAGGAUGACUGCCCUAUGGGUUGUAAACUUCUUUUAUAUGGGAAUAAAAUGUUCCACGUGUGGGAUUUUGUAUGUACCAUAUGAAUAAGGAUCGGCUAACUCCGUGCCAGCAGCCGCGGUAAUACGGAGGAUCCGAGCGUUAUCCGGAUUUAUUGGGUUUAAAGGGAGCGUAGGUGGAUUGUUAAGUCAGUUGUGAAAGUUUGCGACUCAACCGUAAAAUUGCAGUUGAAACUGGCAGUCUUGAGUACAGUAGAGGUGGGCGGAAUUCGUGGUGUAGCGGUGAAAUGCUUAGAUAUCACGAAGAACUCCGAUUGCGAAGGCAGUUCACUGGACUGCAACUGACACUGAGGCUCGAAAGUGUGGGUAUCAAACAGGAUUAGAUACCCCUGUAGUC